rnacentral:rRNA from 1 species
GGUUAAGUGACUAAGCGUACACGGUGGAUGCCUUGGCAGUCAGAGGCGAUGAAGGACGUAGUAACUUGCGAUAAGCGUAGAUGAGGCAGUAACAGCCACUUGAGUCUACGAUUUCCGAAUGGGGAAACCCACUGGCAUAAGCCAGUAUCAUUGAGUGAAUACAUAGCUCAAUGAAGCGAACCGGGAGAACUGAAACAUCUAAGUACCCCGAGGAAAAGAAAUCAACCGAGAUUCCGAAAGUAGCGGCGAGCGAAAUUGGAUUAGCCC